GCUCACCAAGGCGACGACGGGUAGCCGGCCUGAGAGGGCGACCGGCCACACUGGGACUGAGACACGGCCCAGACUCCUACGGGAGGCAGCAGUGGGGAAUAUUGCACAGUGGGCGAAAGCCUGAUGCAGCGACGCCGCGUGAGGGAUGAAGGCCUUCGGGUUGUAAACCUCUUUCAGUAGGGAAGAAGCGCAAGUGACGGUACCUACAGAAGAAGCACCGGCUAACUACGUGCCAGCAGCCGCGGUAAUACGUAGGGUGCGAGCGUUGUCCGGAAUUAUUGGGCGUAAAGAGCUUGUAGGCGGUUUGUCGCGUCUGCCGUGAAAAUCCGGGGCUCAACUCCGGACUUGCGGUGGGUACGGGCAGACUAGAGUGUGGUAGGGGAGACUGGAAUUCCUGGUGUAGCGGUGAAAUGCGCAGAUAUCAGGAGGAACACCGAUGGCGAAGGCAGGUCUCUGGGCCACUACUGACGCUGAGAAGCGAAAGCGUGGGGAGCGAACAGGAUUAGAUACCCUGGUAGUCCACGCCGUAAACGUUGGGAACUAGGUGUGGGUCUCAUUCCACGAGAUCCGUGCCGCAGCUAACGCAUUAAGUUCCCCGCCUGGGGAGUACGGCCGCAAGGCUAAAACUCAAAAGGAAUUGACGGGGGGCCCGCACAAGCGGCGGAGCAUGUGGAUUAAUUCGAUGCAACGCGAAGAACCUUACCAAGGCUUGACAUACACCGGAAACAUUCAGAGAUGGGUGCCCCGUAAGGUCGGUGUACAGGUGGUGCAUGGUUGUCGUCAGCUCGUGUCGUGAGAUGUUGGGUUAAGUCCCGCAACGAGCGCAACCCUCGUUCCAUGUUGCCAGCAACACUUUUAGUGGUUGGGGACUCAUGGGAGACUGCCGGGGUCAACUCGGAGGAAGGUGGGGAUGACGUCAAAUCAUCAUGCCCCUUAUGUCUUGGGCUUCACACAUGCUACAAUGGCCGGUACAAAGGGCUGCGAUACCGCGAGGUGGAGCGAAUCCCAAAAAACCGGUCUCAGUUCGGAUUGGGGUCUGCAACUCGACCCCAUGAAGUCGGAGUCGCUAGUAAUCGCAGAUCAGCAACGCUGCGGUGAAUACGUUCCCGG
rnacentral:rRNA from 1 species